rnacentral:rRNA from 1 species
GACGAACGCUGGCGGCGCGCUUAACACAUGCAAGUCGAACGUGAAGCCGGGGCUUGCCCCGGUGGAAAGUGGCGAACGGGUGCGUAACACGUGAGCAACCUGCCCCGAAGACUGGGGUAACACCGGGAAACCGGUGCUAAUACCGGAUGCCCUCUUCUGAUCGCAUGGUCGGAUGAGGAAAUGGAUUCCGCUUCGGGAUGGGCUCGCGGCCUAUCAGCUUGUUGGUGAGGUAACGGCCCACCAAGGCGACGACGGGUAGCUGGUCUGAGAGGACGACCAGCCACACUGGGACUGAGACACGGCCCAGACUCCUACGGGAGGCAGCAGGUGGGGAAUCUUGCUCAAUGGGCGAAAGCCUGAAGCAGCGACGCCGCGUGCGGGAUGAAGGCCCUCGGGUUGUAAACCGCUUUCAGCAGGGACGAAAUUGAC